AACCAGACGACCCGCCCCGUGCGUCGUGACGCGCGCGCUGUGACGUACAGUCCGGCACCUUUAGCUCCGCCCUCAUCCGGUCCGAGCCUGCUGUCCUGGUGCUUUCUGCAAGUAACCCUCAGUGCUAUGGCGUUUGCAAGCCAAAAUUUGUUUUCUUUUGUCUUUUUUUUCCCUUCUUUUUUGGUAACGGGAAUCGAAGAGCUGGAAUUUCUUUAAAGGCAAAAGGUUGCCCCUCUGCCAUAUCACCCUGCCUUUGUGACAGCUAAUUAUGGACUGAAACCUCUACAAACUGUGAGCUAAAUAAACUUUUCCUUCCUUUAA